rnacentral:rRNA from 1 species
GACGAACGCUGGCGGCGUGCCUAAUACAUGCAAGUCGAACGAGAGCGACCGGUGCUUGCACUGGUCAAUCUAGUGGCGAACGGGUGAGUAGCACGUGGGUAAUCUGCCCAUCAGAGGGGGAUAACAUCCGGAAACGGAUGCUAAAACCGCAUAGGUCUUCGAACCGCAUGGUUUGAAGAGGAAAAGAGGCGCAAGCUUCUGCUGAUGGAUGGACCCGCGGUGCAUUAGCUAGUUGGUGAGGUAACGGCUCACCAAGGCCGUGACGCAUAGCCGACCUGAGAGGGUGAUCGGCCACAUUGGGACUGAGACACGGCCCAAACUCCUACGGGAGGCAGCAGUAGGGAAUCUUCCGCAAUGGACGCAAGUCUGACGGAGCAACGCCGCGUGAGUGAAGAAGGUUUUCGGAUCGUAAAACUCUGUUGUUAGAGAAGAACAAGUGCUAGAGUAACUGUUAGCGCCUUGACGGUAUCUAACCAGAAAGCCACGGCUAACUACGUG